ACAAAUCGGUAAUAUUUUAUAUGCAGAUGGUUGUGUUUUGGACCUGGGAUCUUGGAGUUCCAUAAUAAUUAGGCUGUUCGCCAGAGCCCGAGCCACGGGAGGAUAAAAGAAUUUCAUAAAGUUCAUUGUACGAUAUGAACAAUAUAAAUGGACUUAGUCACUUAGAAAGUCGUGUUAAAGCCCCGUCCACGUCGAUGUUAAGUAGAAUGAGUUGAUAUGAAGAUGAGAAAGAUAGACUAAUGGGGCCAAGAGCUGUGGAUCUUAUCAACAAAAACAUAUUAAUGGGGCACUGAAUCUUAUAAUCAUAGUCUGACCUAAUGCUCCCCUAACUACUUUCAUUUCCAUGUCAAAUAUUUUCUAAAAGGCAUAUUUUUCCA
rnacentral:lncRNA from 1 species